ACACAGUUCCUGUCUGAGGAGGCUGCCUCCCCCAUAUAUAGUAGGAUGCCUACUUUCAGAAGGUAGUAGAUGAAGCCUAGAGUUGCCACCACACCUGCAAAGGCAGCCACAGCAGCCACAGCUUUGGAACCAACAUCUCCAGCAGUCUUGUGCCCUUUGGUGUCCAUAGCACCUACAAAGGAAGCAGACAUUUGAGUCUUAAGUAUUUUUAAAUAAGGAUCAGAUGAGCCGACACCUGGGAAGAACCUGAGAGUUUAGUACAACAUCUUCAUGCUAGUCGAUGUGGUUAGCUGUCCCCUGAGGGUGUGAUCCCACAGGUUGUUCAUUAAGGCUAUCUCAGCCAAGCCAGAGAAGACCCGUGGCAAGGAAAACUGGAAGAAAAGAAUUGUGAUGUAAGACUUUGAUUUGGAGGUAGAUGUUUCCGAAUUCAUGCCAGAAAUUGCUGUGUGGUUGUCAUACCAAAAGGCCUGCUGUGGGAUGCAGUGGAAGAAGCACAUGAACCCUGACUGUGCCCUUAGAUGUCAUUAUACUUCUUUGAACUUCUGAUCCCAAGAGGCAGCUGGAAGAUCUAAG
ensembl:lncRNA novel transcript, antisense to ZP2